CAAGCUAAGAAAUGUGAUGGAUGACCCACCUACCUCCAUCCUGUGAGAGAAUAGAUAUAAUGAAAUCAUGACACCAAGAAGUUGGAGGAAUUUGUUCAAGGUCAUCAUUGAAGAAUAAACUCAGAGAAAAAUCACCUAUUGAAAACACAAGAAGAAGAUUCUUAUCUGGAUUACAUCUUAGACCCUUAAAAGUGGAUGAAGACAGAGAAAAUAGGAACACACUGUGGUAAGAAGAAUGAAAUGGAAUUUCCUAAAACACAACAACAACAACAAAUUAAACAAAUAAAAAAAAAUCUAUGUA